rnacentral:rRNA from 1 species
UACAGAGGGGGCAAGCGUUGUUCGGAAUUACUGGGCGUAAAGCGUGCGCAGGCGGUGAUGUAAGACAGUUGUGAAAUCCCCGGGCUCAACCUGGGAACUGCAUCUGUGACUGCAUCGCUGGAGUGCGGCAGAGGGGGAUGGAAUUCCGCGUGUAGCAGUGAAAUGCGUAGAUAUGCGGAGGAACACCGAUGGCGAAGGCAAUCCCCUGGACCUGUACUGACGCUCAUGCACGAAAGCGUGGGGAGCAAACAGG